UACGUAGGGUGCAAGCGUUGUCCGGAAUUAUUGGGCGUAAAGAGCUCGUAGGCGGUUUGUUGCGUCGGCUGUGAAAUCCCGAGGCUCAACCUCGGGUCUGCAGUCGAUACGAGCAAACUAGAGUGUUGCAGGGGAGACUGGAAUUCCUGGUGUAGCGGUGAAAUGCGCAGAUAUCAGGAGGAACACCGGUGGCGAAGGCGGGUCUCUGGGCAACAACUGACGGCUGAGGAGCGGAAAGCCCAGGGGAGCAAAACGGG
rnacentral:rRNA from 1 species